UCCCAGAAGACCCAAGCAGCCUGGGGCCUGGAUGAGGGAUUUCACUGGGUUUCUCUGAGCCCCAAGGUCCCCAUGGGACUGGGGAGGGGCCUCUCCUGUUGUCACCUGGGGCCUCCAUUCCCAUAUCUACCACACAGAUCUGUUUUGAACACUCUUGGUUUCAGUUGGAUGGAGAUUUCUGUUGCUGCAAAGGAAACACUUGAGAAUCUCCAACUGGCCUCAAGUCAGGAUCUGAUAUUGAAGGAAAUGAGUUCCUGGGCAGAACCGCUGGCCUAAGGGCCCUGAGAGGCUCAGGGACCCAGGAAGCAGAUCAGUCCGUGUCCCAGGAAGGACUCCACUGCCUUUAAGGGAACUCUAGCCCAUGAACCUCAACACAGACAGUCUUCUCAGACUCCAGUCCCCUCACCUUUCUGUUUGGCCUCAAUGGCCUUGAGGUGCUCCAGGUGGCCUGGCAGAAGGGGGCCUGGGACCCAUGCAUAGCUCUCUUUGAGUCCAGUCCUGCUGGAGUGGAAGCCACCAGAACUCAGCCUUCCCAUGGGAAUCACAAGAUGGGUGAGAUGCAGGGCUCUCCCAGGCCUGCGCCAGCCACAGCCUCCAUCCUCUCCCCGCACCCUGUUUUCUAGAGACAGGAGGCCCUCCGUCUGCACCCAAAGACCACUCACUUUGGGAGGUGGUGCUGUCCUCCAGCAUCCUGCACACAAUGGGCCAAGCUGCCUCCAUGUGUCCCAAAGGGGAUGAGGGCAUCGGCCGGGAUGGAGGGUAGAUGGGACCUAGGAAUGAUGUCAAGCGUGACUGACUCUCAGAUUAGAGAGGAGGCCCAGUGAGGCUGUCUGCUUCAUUUAUUGAGUGACACUUAGUGUGUCCAGAUGCCCUGCACACAGUACGUCCUUCAUAGACAUUGUUAAAUGAACUCCAACCAGAACCACCCCAGGUGUCUGAGUAGGCCUGUGGCCCCUCUGUGACCCUAGAGAUCCCUAAGUGGCUACACCAAGGACAAGCACCAGGACCAGCUGGAUGGCAUCUCAAACUCCUUGACAGGGUGCUCUCCAGGUGUUUUUCCAAACUCAAAA
rnacentral:lncRNA from 1 species